UGCAGAAUCCCGUGAAUCAUCGAGUCUUUGAACGCAAGUUGCGCCCGAAGCCUUUUGGCCGAGGGCACGUCUGCCUGGGUGUC
rnacentral:rRNA from 10 species